AUGAUUUUUUAAAACAUUUUAAUGAAAUACAUUUCGGUAUCACAGCAUCCUCACUGUCAUACGAAUUCAUCCCACCGUGAUGCCCUUCGUUCACUGCUGGGGAAUUCUUUCUCUCGUUAUCGUUAUCACGUACCCUUAACAACCCGACCACAGUUAGCGUCUGUUCUGUGUGCGUUUCUCUUUCUGCGUUCGGGAGCAGCGAUGUCCUGCGUGUAUUGGUAGCAGUUGCGUGCUAACCGAUAACACGAAACCCCCAGAAACCCGAACACCGAGAGGAACUCAUUGCUGAAGCUUGCGAAGCCACUGGCGAAGCAUCUCCAAACCAGUUCAGAUCACUGCUGCGCGCUGUGGUGAGUGGAGUGAAAACAUCUUUUCACCACGGAUUGUUCUCGCUGCAAAACGGGUAAACUGUGUCGGUGUUUCGUCCUUUUUGAGGCGGCACACGGUUAGGGUGUGGUGUGUGGCUGGGGAGUUUUGCAAAGUCCUUCGGUCCGGUGCAUAUCCGGGAACGGUUCGGCAAUGUUCGGGUCGACCCGAACCGACGGAAGGAAGCGCGUGCGGAUUGCAUUCCACCCGGUUCGGUGACGUUCCAUGGUGCGUCUCCAUUUCACGUUCUUCACCGUUCUAUCGGUACCAGUGCCAGUGUGGUAGUGCGUUGUGACGAAGCAGUAAAUGUGACCGGGAUCCUGCCAAACAGUAGCCAUCCGUCGGCUGGGUCCUGCUGGUGUUGGCAACUGCAAAUUUAGUCAUUGGCCUGGCCCAGUCCGGAGUGGUUGUGCUUUCUAGUGGUUCGCUCCCGGGCUACUUCUCAACAAUAGCAGCAGCAGUAGCAAGACAGACAGUUACAACAAAUCAGUUUGCUAGUUAGGGACAAGUAGUAGCAGCAGCAGCAGCAGCUAAAGAGCGCGUGUGAAAAUUGAAGUUGAAGUUAGUUUUUAGUCCUAAAGUGAAACAUUUGUCUUAUCGCCUUUUUUUUGGAAUCGAAACGUUUCCCUUUUCUUGUUGGAGGUUUUAAAUAAUGUGUACCCAGCUCGCAAGCAGUUAAUAGUUGUAAUAGAAUUAAAGAAACAUUCCGCAGACAUUCCGACUGCUUGCGUACGAUAAGACGCCAACAUUGGGCCACUCUAAAUCAGCAGCUGCCGCUUAUACCAAACAAAAAAAAACAGUGCAAUCGGUCGUGUUUGUUCGUUUAAAUCGCGCGAACUUUUCGCUCCUAACCCUCUCGCUUACGCACUCUCUCACAUUCUCUCAUUCCCUCUCACGGGAAUGCGCGUUCAAUUUAGUGGCGUAAAAUUGGUGUCCCCCCCCAGGCAGCAUCACGGCUACAAUUAAAACAAAUCGUUAACUGAGCCAAAAGCACACACCGAACGGAAAAGAACUGCGAACACACAACAAAACACACCCGGCGCUGAUGAUGAGUGCUCGACGUUUGGACGAUGCCUUUAGGAAACGUUUGCCACCAUGGUCGAAAUCCACCGCACGCAGAACUCCUCCCCACAGUGCCGGGGAAGUGUGUUGUCGCUUCCGCAAAGGCUCUACAAACGGCUGGUGGUCGCUCGCGUGUAAGCAUGACUAUGGUGCAACCCUGCCGGGAGAAGCCUGCACAAUUUAUGACCCACCUGACCCAUCACCGCCCGCCAUUGUAAGCGGAAGCGGGUUGUAUGGGUGUUGUGGUUAAAAACAGGGGAAUGAAAACCAUCCUCUUCUUUGCCCCGUUUGGGUAUGAAACGAUCUCGAGAGCCAUGUUUUUUGGGGGGCGUUUGCUACUGCGAACGUGUCAAAAGCAGCAGUAACAGCAGCAGCAGCGAGAGAUGCAGGCAACCGAACUUCUUCCACAUUCCCGAAGCCGUUCCCGGGGAUGUGGAGUCUUGAUUUUGCGCCGAGUUUGAGCCAACCAACCCCCUCCGGGGAGGAGGCUGUGGAGGUCGAAAACUCCAAGCAGGGAUUUUGGUCAUCGAGAAUGAUGUUGUGGUUGCCUGGGCGGCAAUUCUCUACGCCCCGACAUACUGCAACGAAACCACCCAUCCAGCAACAGUCUGGAAGACUGGAAGGAAAAUCAGCAUUUGUGCCUCGAUGCCAUCCGACACCGACGUCGUCAUCGGCAGUAUCGUCGCCGUCGUCGUCGUCCCCACCAAACGUCCAACCGGAUGGACCGAACGGAAAGCAGCCACGGUCACGUUCGCAACUAAAAGUAAGAGUUGCUGAUCUUUUAAUUUCUACAUCAUAAAGCAAACAAGUCACGUCUGCGUGAAGAGGCAGUGUUGGGCCUCGUUUUGUUUUUGGAUGAAAUUUGCACACCGUGGCAUGUGAUUUGUGUGGGUGGGCGGAUGUCGCAAAACUGUGAAAAGAGAGCCACACCGAAAAAGCGAAAAACUUUUCUUCAAACCUGUGCCUGUGCGCGUACCCAUCACGCUGGAAUGUACAUUUGGUACGCCGUUCAUCAGGCGGAAAAGGAAGGUAACGCUGAAGAAAUAUUUGCUUCCUUUUUCCCCCCGACCUCCGGGCGUAUGGAACGAUGUAACGAUGCCACGGCACAAGAGAAAAAUGGCAGGUACUGCGCUAUUCCACCGAUAACGACAAUGUUCUUCGCUUGACCGACCGGAACUCGUGUUGGACGCAGUCUCGAAGAUUUGUAGUCCGCACGGCAAGCGCAACUUUUAAAUAGGUAAAUAUCAGAAUGUUACUCAAAUUGGAUGUAUCAAAUUGUAAGUACAUCAAUGAAUCAAUGGUGAACAAGCGAAAAGGGCUCUUGUGGCUGUGAGUGUAUGUGUCAGGUUUUUUUUUAUUGAUUUAGUAAUUUGCAACAAUCAGCAAUAAUGCUGCCACGUGUUGGCACUUUACAUUGCUUCCCAACAUAACUUUUGUUUUGUUAUUAUAGAAUUAUAAAAGCUUACAUAUCAAAUGUUAACUUAUUUACAUUUCAUAUCGUUGGAACUAUCUGUGUUUUACGCUUUAACACGAAUUGUUUUAAUUACUUAUAUAUUUGCACAUGUCAUGUUUAAAAAUUUGUGUAAAUAUUUUAUUUCAAUGUAUGAAUGUUAUGAAGAUAUUAAACAGUUAAAUAACAUUGAAAAAGCAUUUUUACCCAUUAAUUUAUUUUUAUUUUGAAAUAUUUAUAAAGUACCAGGCGCCUCCAUGUAAGAAAUUUUCAUUGGCUUUUUUGAACUUCAAAAUUAAUUUAACUGAUUUUAUGUGUUCUACGAUUUUUUGGUAUUUGUUUUCUAGUCUCAGGUGCGAUAUAAACUAUAUCAAGCAUUUGAAAAAUGAAACCAACCAGAACGUAAAACUCGAAAUAAUUCUACGACGCAAUUCAUAAUUAAACUUUUAAAAACUUGCCAUAAACAAUAAUAGGCAUGGCUUGUUUUUGAAAUAUAUAUAGCUCCUUUGACAAGCUGAUUUAUACUCUAGUUUUUUUCCUAAUUUUUCUAUAUUUGGGCAUAUUUUAAAAUAACUUCAUCAUUGCUAUUCAAAUGUCUUUCUCCAUUAGGAAACUAUAAUUUGAUAGAGUAAGACAUUACCUCGAUUGACGUCACAUGCUUUUGCGUGUAUUGGUGACAUUUCCAAAAACGACAUUUUCACCGAAUGGAACGGAACGACAGGCAGGACACGGCGAAAGACAUCCCGUAGAUGCUACCGUGUCAUACGAUCCGUUCGGUGUGGCUUGAAAACGCAACCCACGCACCAUGCUGUGCCGAAUAAACGAAUGAAGAUAUUAAUCAAUCAUCUCCAAUUAAGCUGCCCGAUAAUAUCGGAAACCCUUCCAACCCACCAGUGGGCAUGUUGCAAAUGAUCAUUUGUGCGCAUCUAACAAGACCCGUCGAAGAAGACGACACCAAAUCCAAAGUUUCCUCCUUCAUUUCCCUUCCACAUCAAGGACCAACUGCUGCCCCCCUCCCAAUUUUGCUGUCUCGCAAAUUGAUUUAUCUCAAAUGCACAUGUGCGUAUGUGAGGAACGUUAGCCCUUUCUACGGGAUUUCGGUGUGAAAAUGAUUCCGCAAUCCGGCACACGUUACUCAAACACACAGCAUACCGUGUACGGGUAGGUGAGUUUAUUUAGGGGUGCGGUUGUUUAUGCCACUUCCGGCAUUCCGGAUAAAUGAUCGGCAUUCGGUCUUUGCACUACGGCACAAAACUCAUUACCCACAGACAAAAUCCGUUUCAAUUAUGCACCGACAGUGACGGUCUUGGAGAUGUGCUUGACUAACUUUAACGCAUCGUUCGAACACUGUAUCUCGGUGGAUGUAUGUUCGAGUCACCAAUCGAUGGAAUCGUUGGUCGUUUUUCCAAUCCGAAUCAUUCCACCAUCGACAGUAUGGACCGUGACCGUAACUCGAUGCCAAUUAAUUCUUGAAUCAUUGCGAGUCUGGGAGUGUUUGUGAGUGCAAGAUGUGGGUCGAGGUACAAUUACUUGGAAGACAUUGGACCGGUCCUCCAUACGUCAAGCAACGUCUGUGUCGAUCAAUUAAAUCAAUCAACGAGUGAAGGAAUCUUCCAGAACACUCGCUCAAAGGUGUUACAUCGACUCGAACCGAAACUGACCCAGCGUGUGCUGAACAGAAAGGUUCCAAAGAUUGAAUUCUGAAUGAUGACUGAACGGGUUCCUGACUGACAUCGGCUCAGCUCACAACUUACUCCCCGCGAAGGUGAAAACUUCCACCAUCAUUUAUCAGCGACGAAAGGAUCAAAUGGUUUAAUAGAUGGGUCCCGCCCGUGCUCUAACUGCGUAAAAGUGAAUCCUUCCCGUUGAUUUGCAGGACCAACGUUUAUUUUUAAUGAUGGCCAUAGGAAAUGGGCACCCAUUCAUCACACCCUCUCGAAGUCUGACCCUUUGUGUGUGAGGUGUGAGGAGUCUCUGAUACUGAACCAGAAACGAUGAAAGCUUCUGAUGGAAAGGAAUUGUGACUCGUUUUUUCUUCCCUUUUUAUCCUUCUUCUCCUACUCUUCUACUUGCAUUUAUCGUUCUGGGGGUUGUUUACACUUUUCAGGCUUGGGCUGGGAAGAACAUUGAGGAUCUUUUUUUUCGGGCGAUUUUUCACUUGCUGGAUGCGCUCUCCUAAUCCCAAAAUACAGGCUGGAGGACGGCUUUCUGGAGGCGUUUUUUUUUUUCUUUGCCGCCCGAUUUGUGUUCCGUUCGGCUCAGCUAAACGAUUACCCUACUUUUUAUGAUCCUUUCUAACAGGAUGGUUUAUGGUUUGGUAACACGUUGCGAUAUUUGGCUUGCGGAAGUUUACGAGUUUCAACAUUUUUUUUCCUCACUUUUCUACACUUUUGACAACAAAAUAUAUCCAAAAAAACCUUGACUUUGAGCGCGGAAGUUGCUACAGAGAUACGGUGGUGACUGCUAAAGCUAAAAAGCUAACUCGAAAUUAAGUCAAACAAACAGCACACACAUGUACGUUAAGAUCAUCCGCAAUGCAUCGUGUUUCUGUAUGUUUGUGUGUGUGUAGUUCUUUGUUGUGAAAUGCAGGACGAUAGGGGAUGUGUAAGAAUCCAGCGAGGCACGGCAAAUUGAUAGGUUCAACUCGUUCGGUCGCUUUUCCUUUUUUUUCCUCCCCCAGUCCGUCAUUUGAUAUGCUUCGAUGCGCGUUCCGCCUUGCGAGCGUUGAUGGAUGAAUGGAGAAGGACAAACCUCCAGCACACAACCCUUAGCUUAUUUCCCUGUGAAGCGUUUUGUUUAUCCUGAUGAAAAGCACUCCAAGAAUGGGGAACCCUCAGGCAUUUUGCGAGGUGAACGGCAUAGAGCGGAUUGGGAAAAAGUCGUCAGAGUCGAUAGCCAUGUUUGAGCAAAUAAUUACUCAGACGUUUGUCUCGGCAGACAAUGCUGCGCUUGGGAGUAAGCGGGAAGCAACGACAACAACAAAAAAUAGGAGCCCAUUCGCCCUCUCUCGUCCUUAUUUAAUGCCUCCAUGCUUGCUGCCUUUUUCCAACAUCACAACAUUGGAUAUAAUUGAUCAUUGUUUGCUCUGCUCCAUUGUUUGCCAGACCGAAUGGAGCGUACACGUUGCUCCCUCGUGUGACUGCGUUAUGUCGAUGGGGCUUUGCUUUUUUUUUUAUUUUCUUCCGUAGAGUAAAGCUUUUCUAUCCGCUUGAAGCCGAACCACCGAACGCCGAAAAAGCGUUCGUGUGUUGGCGCAUUAUUUCACAUGUGUUUCGUUCCCGGGGAACGAGAAGUCGAUUUAUACCUUCAAUUUCUUCGGUUCUGUUGUUCUUUACGAUAAAUCCAAAAUUCCGUCCACCGACACGAUGCGUGGGCUUUUUGUUUGGUUGCACAUAUAUUUUGCUUCUACAGAGCGCAAUACGGGAAAGUUCAAGAUCGAUAAAUCAUUUUGUUGUGUGACAGUUUUAUUUCACGCGAGUGUUGUCUCCAUUUGAAUGGGAAUUGUCAGGUAACGUUGUCUGGGGUGGGAAAAUAGCUUUGCUGCUGCAAGUGGUACAAGCGGUUUAGCGUUAAAUGCCACUUGUUUGUUCUAGAUAUAUGCUGGCAAAACAUAAUUUACUCAUCUGCAUAUUGUGUUGUCAUCGUUUAAGCAAGGUAAUUAUUUACUGUAGCAAUUGGGCUAUUUAUAAUUUCAAAUUCGAAAUUAUGUCCCUUAAACUCUUUGACGUUUAAGCCAAAUAUUUUUCUCAUCUACAAAAAUCAUUAUCAAUUGUUCAAGUAUUAUCGUAACAAUGUUUUUGAAACGAAAUAUCAAAAUGAAACGCCUGUCAAAGCCGGCAAAUGUCUUUCUGAACGAAUAAACUAAAAAAAUGGUAAAAUAAUUUCAUCAAAUAUAAACCAUUCGUGCUCUGAACUAGUAAUAUUGAGUAAGUCUAUUUGACUUGAAGAAAUAAAAAAAGUGUUUGGUGGGGCAGAGAACUACAUAUUAAAUAUGACGAAAUUUUGCUUUUACUUAUGGCAGAAGAAGAUGACUAAUAUGUAGCUAGACGAUGAAGACACAGUUCAUAACUCAAUAUAGAAAAUGGAUAAGUUGUUGUUGGAAUUAAUGAUUCUGCUCAAGAAGCGUGAAAUCAAACCUCAUUAACUACUUGUUUAGAUACUUAAGAAACUAUUCCUAUUUUCAAUUGGGUUAAUAACUCAUAAGAUCCUCACACAUUGAAUGAAAAGUGAGUGUAAUUUUGGGCUUAUAAAUACAUUAAAGCAGCAUUGCAUAUUGUUGUCAUAGGACAUUUUCAUGGUAGUUACACAAAUUGAUCAGUUACUGUCUAAUAUCAAUAAUGUAAUAUAACAAUUUACAUUCAAGAUGAAUUAAAUGGAACUAUUUUUGGGAUUGAAUACGAAAAUAUGACCCUCUUUAGUCUCCUCUAAAAAGCUCCGCAUUAAAAAAAAACGUAAUUUGCCAGCAGUACAAUGUAAUUUUCAUUAGAAAUGAUACAAGAAAUAUCGAUACAAUAAACCAAACUCGUCGUUUAUUUCCUUUUAUAUGGUCCAUAGGGAAAAAUAUUUCCAAGAAGUUAUAGAAAACUUACACAUCCUGCUAAGCUUUUCUGAUGAUAUUCUCUUACUUUACACCCCCAAUAGCUAAAAUAUUGUGUUGUAUUGGCAUUUUUAGUCCGGGAUAGCCUAUGGUCCCUUACAGGUUAAAAUUAAAUUACUAUUUAUUUUUGCUUAUUUUCAUAGCAAAUUGGAUUUAACGUAAUUAAUUCUAAAGGUUUUGUUUUUUUUUUCGCUAGUAAACCGUGCAAAAUUACAAAACUUCAAAUAAAAAAUAUUUCAACAGCAAAUUUAAGCCAAAUGUUGGCUCUAACCAUAGUAGGAACAUUUAUUGACCAUUUGUAAUGGUAAAUCUAAAUAUUUAAACUAUAUCAGUGUGUGCGUGUUUGUUUAAAAAAAUAUCAAACUAUAAAACACCAAUUUCAACGAAAACUGUAAAAAACAAACUCUCGCUAAGCUCUCUGAAUAUAAAAUAUUUAAACCUCGAAAGUAAAACAAAAAAACCCAAAGCGUGACGCCAUCCGUUGCUAUCGGAUACCAAUAUUAGCUGAACGUUUGCACUUUGCUUCCAUUCAUUGUGGCAACACAAAAUAUUGUCCAUCAUUUACGGUCGGCUCGCCAAUGGCACCCGGUCAUCAGACGCGCGACUAACUCGUACGCAACGUCCACUUUGUUGCAUUGGGUGUAUUUUAUCGAAAUAAAGCUAUUGUUCCCGUUUCAUAGAUUAUUUAUAGCGCCCGGUCCAUGUGUGUCGACGGACUAAUGUUCAAAUAAAAAAAAUGAAAAGAAAAAGAAUGUAAUAAAAAGAAAUAUAGCCAAGUGAAUGUAAAGGAUUGUCCGUUGGUAGGGUACGAAAAUGGUCCGAUACACAAACAAUUCGGUGGUGUUUGCGUGUGUCGCUACAAUGUGGAGGUCCUCUUAUCCCUACGUACGCCGGCUGCAAAUCGCUUAUGAAUGUUACAUGACUGGUGGUUCCUUUUCAUGAAUAUGUGUGUGUGUGUGUGUAACAUGUAUAUGUCACACCAUACCAUCUCCACACUUUCCCACCCGAAUCCCCGACUCAUCUUUCACAUGCAAGCGAUAUCUGUGGAUGCUGAUUCGUUCAGCUAUUUGGCAAUGAUUUUGUAGUUUCAAUGUUUUGCUUUUCAGCAAUAUUUUUUUCUUCUUUUUGUUGUGUUGCAUGCUUCUGUAUGUAACAAUCAGCUAUAUCAUAUUUGUUGCCAGCGAGCAUAAAGCGAGCGGCGCUGGUUUUAUAUGAAAUGGACACGUCGUUGGGUGGUCAGUUCGAUCGGUUUUGGAAAUUCUUUUUUCUCUCUCUAAUGUUUCAGUUUAACAGAAUACCAUGAGCGAGACACAACAGCUAGGCCAAAAAGGCUACUGUAGCCACUUUUAUUAUUAUCUGUUCAUACCCACCCUGCUUCACCCACCGUUCCCGGUGCGCGGUGACAUAGAAAAGCGGAACGGAAAGUGGGUUUGAAAACACCAGCCCGAGUGUAGAAUGCGCGAAAUGAUUUUCAACGAGCCUUUCAACGAACGACGAGGAAGGAAUUUUGUGCCUUAUUUCGCUGGCAGUGCAACUAUGUUACCAUUUUAUUAUUUACCCAUUUCGGUGCCGAUGCUGGUGGUAGUUCGCGCCAAGGGGAUGAAGGGUGAAGCAUAUCCAUAUGGUAUUCUAUUCCUUCCAUGCACAACCAAAGCAUAUUGUUCAUAAAUUUUUAUCACUAAAUUUGAUGAUGGAUGGUGCGAUUACUGUUUGUUAUUACCAGGCCAGCACAAGUGUAGCUGGUCGGUUCACUCGAAUAGAGAUGAAUAUUGUUUUGUUACCGCUUUUUUGUUGUGUGUUCUUUCAUUCUUUCGCUCUUCUUCUUUAGCUCUUUGAAAUAGUUCAGUAUUUAGGGGUGAGAUAAAUUUACGUUUCCAUUUAUGACGGAAAAUAGAAAAGCGCCAGUGUAGCAGGUCCGAUGAAACACAGCGUUCAAGAAAUGGGCGCUGACGUGGGGUUGUAAUCCAUCUGCUGUGGUUGAAUGAAAUUUUACGAGAAAACAUAUACUUGUACUAACCAUACACAUGCUCUGCUUCACGUUUUUUUUUGGAAUGGCUAGUAAAGUGGACAAGCUAAUGCGAUAGUAUAUGACAGGAAAAAUAUGAUUAUGUGUUUUUUUUUCUUUCAACCGAAUUUUUACUGCCAUUACAUCCGUCGGAAUACUGCCGCGAAAAUGGGAUCAUAUAAUGUUUUAGCCCAGUUAGGUAAUUUAUAGCGGUAAUUCAUUUUGCGGAUGAUAUGCUAAAAAAUUUGAACAAAUAUUCGAUAAAUUUAUCAACAGUCCAAUGUUUUUGGUUUAAUCGCCAUUGGCAUGAUCAGCAUCUUAGAAAAUGGUUCACCAUUUCGAACCUAAAGUAAAUCGAAAACUCCAAAUGAAUUGUACAUUUAUACUUGUUUUGUCUAGUAUUUUGUUAGCCUCAUGAUCAUUUAACCUGUUUUCUGUAGGCCUUAGGUCCGGACUGAGUAUAGGGCAACACAGACAAUUUAAGGUUUUAAAGAGUUACCAACUACUUUCGGUGACCAUAUGAUUUCGAUCUCAAAUUGUCUAAAUGAUAUAUAUAAAGUUUUGGUGCGCCCUGGUGGUAUAUGUGAUAAAGGGCGCCGAUCUAUUCUGCUGCGUGGUAAAGUAAAUCUUGAUAUGUCAGGCAUGUAACCAACCGAAAAAAAAAACAUCAUUAACAAACACAAUACAGUGAACAGCCACCGGUUAUUGGAUCGUUGGUUAGCCAAAAUGUGUCCACUGCCUCUCGAUUCGUUGAUUUUCUUUUGAAAUGGAAUUGAUGAGAACGAAGGCAUCCAUUUCCCAGGUGUUAAGUUUGACAUGCUGGACACAAAAUGUUGUCCACAACAGUGCUCCAUUUUGCGUGUGUCUCUGUCGACAAUCGUACGACGCUUGUUAGCAUUUUCCAAGCUGGAGAAAGGUCCACAAGCAAACGAAGCUAGAGUUAUAUAAAAAAAGAAACAGCAUCAUCCGAUUCUUUCCGUACCAGUGCGUGCCAAAGCGGGUUGGAUCGGUCCGCCUCAUGGGUCAUUUGACAUUUAUCGGUGCGAAGUCCUCACACGCUUGCCGAAGCGUACCUCUGAAGGUAUGUGCGUACGAGAUCCUUCAAAACUCGAACUUUUUCACACAGCUAACCCAUUACAACAAACACAUGAUGACCUGAUAAGCGAAGGUGUAAUAAAGGGUAACGGGGUGUGUGUGUUUUUUUUUAUUUUAUUAAAUUACACCCAUUCCCAUUUAUUUGUAGACGAGAAACGACAAAAAAUCUUUUACACCCCAAAAACUCUGCCUUUUUUCACCUAAACCCUACAGCUUAAGGAUGACUUGCACCGGCAUUAAGAUGAUAUAAAUAUUUAUCUGUUUUUUUUUUUACUUUUUAGGUACCAUUUUGUACAUUUUGGUACGGUGUCGAAUGCUUAUUAUUUCUGCUUGACAGAAAAACCCCCCCAACUAGGAUAUCUUUGCCCAUUAUGCUACAUCAAAUGAAACUGAAGAGGACACACAAUAAAAUCCGUUCCACUUCCGUUACCGUGUGUUUGGGGAUGGUGCAUUUGCCUUCCAUCGAAGGUUCCACACACACACAUAACACACACAUACACAGGACAUAAACUCGUUCCCUUUUACAUCUUGUCGGAUCACCGGCUCUCGUUUGGUUUAGGUUUGCUGAAGGUUUUGUGAAUGUUUGUACACCGUAGAGGGCACAUGUAUGGCGAUGGGAACGAUGUGAAGCGGUGCGAAGCCUGAUCGACAUGGCCGCAGGUUCUCAAUGUGUGUGUGUGUGUGUCGGUAUUUGUGAGCAAUGUCAUAGAAAAGGGUUCAAUGAUUUUCUUGUUAUUGAAUAUUUUAUGUGCUGGAAUGGAAUGGCCAAACAGGACAAAAACGUGAGGAAGGUUUGUCGCAACCGUGUUUACCAUGUUUACCACCAGAGACAGGUUUACGUUGUUUUCCGGUGUCGAGAACGUAGACCAGUAACGGCAUGCACGACGAGACAAAUGUUUCCAUGGUUUUUUUUUUUUUGUUGGUUGUUGUGUCUCUUUUGGUCGGUUGCAUAGCGAAAUCAUGCCGAGUGGUAAGUGGGUUAUGUUGCGGAAAAAUAAUGAUGAAAUGAGAACCAAAUGUUUCACGCAUGGCUAAACCCACACAUCAUCGUAAUCGUGGAGGCACUCUUUUAUGGUCCGAGAUGUUCAUGUGUCAUGUGCUGAGAGAGAGAGAGAGAGAGAGGGAGUGGAAAAAACUGUUGGAUGAUAUUGUGUUUGUACAAUCGUAUUCUUUUGUCGAGACUAAUAUAAAAUGGUUUACAAUUUUUUUUUCACCUCUUCCACGAAAACUCAAACAGCAAUACGAAGGCUCGUUUCGUUUUUUUAGGCGCAUGAUAAGCGCGUGUUAAAAUUACGAAAGAAAAAGAAUACGUUCCAAUAGUAUAGCCCCUUUAUCUUUAUGACUUCAAAAUGGUGAAGAAAACCAUUUCCAAAAUUGAUGAUGAUGAUGUCACCCGUUCUGUUCCGCAAAACCGGACAUAGCGGAAGGCAUCGCGGACGUUGAGAACCAUCUGAAGGAUGCUGACAUCAUUAAAAGUACACGAAGUAAUGUCGGAAGCAGUAAAGUGCCUCACUGCCAUUCCGUUUGUGUGGCGUUUCUUCGUGCGAAUUUUUCCCAACUUCUUCAACAGUCCUUGUAAUUUUGUAAGAGCGACCAGGCGCCUCCACCAGUGAGUGGAGUGAGUUUUGAAAAUGCUGCAUAGAAAAUUCAUCCACUCAAAAUGAUUUACACACACUCACACACACACACAUAUCUUCGCAUGUGCCGAUGCAGGGAAUGGAAGCUCAUUCUCCGCGUUGUAAGAGAUUUAGCGUCCCUACUCUCGGGUAAGCGCACGAGUGGGCACCUAUUUUCAUGUUCAAUUAUAAUUUUAAUUUCAAGUGACACUCCUGUGACGGCGCAUUAGUGCCAAGAGGAAGUCCAAAUAGGGAACAGGUUACUGCAUCUUACCCGCGCUAUAUAUAUUGGCAAAACCAUGUGACGAAAGCUCCACCAGCGCACCAGUGCAUGUCGAAAGCUGUUACACUUUACAUAACGCUACCCCGUUUGUUUGCCAAAAAGGAGUUCGCGAACUAGCGUGAACUGUCACGUAAGGAACCCUUUUCCAUUUUUAUCGCCUUUUAGUAGGUGUGUUCGUUGCUGAGGGUGUGAUCUUAAUUGCAUUAUGUCUCCGUAGGCAUAAUGCAUCUCGCUUGUCUCCUCCGGUUCAUUAUCGAUUUUUCUUAAUUAAGAUUGAACGUUUCACAUCCAAGGCCACUCAACAGCAAACCAAACAGAAAAAAGGUAUAUGAAAAAGGAUAAGUAGAUGGAACUUUUUUUUGUUGUUUUUUUGCUGUUUGCUAUUAAAUGGUUGCCGGUCCUUACCACUUUUGGGUUUUAAUUUUAACCCCGACCCGGACACACUGUGGUAGCCCAAAAAAAAAGAAUGAAAGAAAAAUAAACUCAGUGGAAAAUGAACGAAAUGAAAAUUUAAUCCGACACAGUUGCUCUUAGUGCUCUUAACGCGCGAAGGAAAAUGAAAAUUGAAAUUAAUUUUUCAAUAUAUUCACGCGUCACACAAAAUGGCGGCGGAUGGCACGCGGUUCUACGGUGCGGAAUUUCACGCCUUUAAACGCGACCGUGAUCGGUGUGAAAGUGGCUUUCAGCUGUUGGUAAACCAACGUUCGUUCUAUAGCAAGUGAAUGCAAAACGGCACCGAAAAUCAUUUCGUGUGAGCAAAAGAGCAAAAACCAUAUGGAGGAGAUUUGUUGCAACUCGUUCGCAAGCUUGUAUCAAACACAGAUUAAAUCACACAUCGUACAAACACACAGCCGGCGUGAAUGAGUAUGAAGCGGCAAAGAAAUAAGCAGAAGGCAACGCAUCUACCGCAAAGUGUCACACAACCUGUCAAGGACAACGCUGUUGCGACUUUUCGUGGCUUGCGGCAAAAUGCGAACGAAAGUGGUGAUUUUUUUUUUAUCAAGACAAAUCCGCCACUUUCUCGCAAGUUUCAAAGUUUUCAACCUUUGCAGUCGCUUAAAUUUGUCCCAUUUCACGUUGAAGUGUUCGUGGUUUAUCGAGCUUUUCCCCGAGGGAUGGUUCUAGACUAACGCGAAGAGGAUUUAAAAUUUAAUCCUUGUAAAGAUGCGAUCAAAAGGCACGGACAAGGAGAACGUUAGCGUGAGUGCAUUGGUGUAGGAUUGCUGGAAGUUGUGUAUUUGCUGGAAAACUCAAUUACAUCAGUUUCUGCAACCAUGGGGUGUAGUGAUGGCCGUGGAAAAUCUGCCUACUUGGAAGCGUUUUCCAGCCGUUCGCUUCCGAAUCUCUUAUCCCACUGUCAAUUGGGCCAAUCAAAUCGUUGAUUAGAUUUCAUCCGAAAGGGAAAUACCUUCGUCAGAAGCUUUCUCCCCCAUUCUCCCCACAGGCAGGGAGGUCUGUUUGACCGCAUUCGAUCGAAUGGAAAUCCUGCGGGAAAUCCACGCUACGAAUGCUGUGGCAAGCGCCGGUGAGAAUGUUGAGAACAGAAGCUCGUUGGAAUAGUUGGCAGCCGAUGCUAUUUGCCGAAUGGAAUAAUAAUUUUAUUAAUGUUAUUCAAAAUUGCAGCAAAAACGUAAAAGGAGUGAAUGUAAUUUUAAUAAACCAUUUGACAUAUUU